rnacentral:rRNA from 1 species
AACGAACGCUGGCGGCAUGCCUAACACAUGCAAGUCGAACGAAGCCUUCGGGCUUAGUGGCGCACGGGUGCGUAACGCGUGGGAAUCUGCCCUUGGGUUCGGAAUAACAGUUAGAAAUGACUGCUAAUACCGGAUGAUGUCUUCGGACCAAAGAUUUAUCGCCCAAGGAUGAGCCCGCGUAGGAUUAGGUAGUUGGUGGGGUAAUGGCCCACCAAGCCGACGAUCCUUAGCUGGUCUGAGAGGAUGAUCAGCCACACUGGGACUGAGACACGGCCCAGACUCCCACGGGAGGCAGCAGUGGGGAAUAUUGGACAAUGGGCGAAAGCCUGAUCCAGCAAUGCCGCGUGAGUGAUGAAGGCCUUAGGGUUGUAAAGCUCUUUUACCAGGGAUGAUAAUGACAGUACCUGGAGAAUAAGCUCCGGCUAACUCCGUGCCAGCAGCCGCCGUAAUAC